rnacentral:misc_RNA from 1 species
UUCUUUUUCUUCUUCUUUUUCUCUUUCUUAUCAUCUUCACUUUCUUCAACCCUCCCUUCCUUUACUUUCUUCACCACAACUGUCUCUUCCUUUUCAACUUCUUCGACUUUAACUUUCUUAGCCGGAACUUGAACAGUAGGGCUAUCAGUGCUUUCAUCCAAUUUGCGCUUGCGCCCCUCCCCAUCUUCACCAUCCUUGCUUUUCUUCUUCUUCUUCUUCUUCUCCUCCUC